GACGAACGCUGGCGGCGUGCCUAAUACAUGCAAGUCGAGCGAGCGGAACUAACAGAUUUACCUCGGUAAUGACGUUAGGAAAGCGAGCGGCGGAUGGGUGAGUAACACGUGGGGAACCUGCCCCAUAGUCUGGGAUACCACUUGGAAACAGGUGCUAAUACCGGAUAAGAAAGCAGAUCGCAUGAUCAGCUUUUAGAAGGCGGCGUAAGCUGUCGCUAUGGGAUGGCCCCGCGGUGCAUUAGCUAGUUGGUAAGGUAAAGGCUUACCAAGGCGAUGAUGCAUAGCCGAGUUGAGAGACUGAUCGGCCACAUUGGGACUGAGACACGGCCCAAACUCCUACGGGAGGCAGCAGUAGGGAAUCUUCCACAAUGGACGCAAGUCUGAUGGAGCAACGCCGCGUGAGUGAAGAAGGUUUUCGGAUCGUAAAGCUCUGUUGUUGGUGAAGAAGGAUAGAGGUAGUAACUGGCCUUUAUUUGACGGUAAUCAACCAGAAAGUCACGGCUAACUACGUG
rnacentral:rRNA from 1 species